rnacentral:lncRNA from 1 species
UGAUCGGCAGCGUGGGAAGGUGGCUGCUGCUGCUGCUGCUGCUGGGACUGGAGGUAGGCGCGGAGGUCGUCGUAGCUGAGGAGGGAGAAGUUCUCGGGCCACUCGCCGGAGAUGAUGGCGUCGGGGUUCUCGUCGAGCCCGAGCCGGAGCCCGCUCCCGUCCAUGAACGUGGACGCCCGGCACCCGAAGCUCCCUGCGCCGGUGGCUUUGCCCCUUCUGGCCUCAGCCUUGGCCCCUUUGAACAUGGAGCAGCUCUGCAAGGUAUUGAUGCACGCCAUGGAUGCUACUCUUCCUUGUCUCGUGUGGUGGAUGUUGUCUGACUGUGUUCUCUUGCAGAUCCCAGCAGGAGGGCUCCAUUUAUAGGGAGUGAAGCUGGAGGCGCUGGGAUCGCUCCAUGCCCAUUGUCAGUGAGCUGAGCUGGAUGGGCAUGCUUGCAUGGGGAGGGAGGGGCUGGCCCACCGGUGAGUGAGCGACUGGUGCUGCUGAGAUCCCACUUUGACUUGACGACUGAUGAGUGUGCUGACAGAUAAAUAUCUGUGUGAUCAGUGAGCUUCAGCCAAGGUAGGUAGGUAGAAUCAUGGCGGUGAAUUCCUUGGGAGAAAGGGUGGUUGAUCAUGGCGUUUUUAACCCCUGGGCUGGGGUGGUAAUUCAUGGAGGAUCUGGAUGUGCACCUGACUCUGAAUGUGAUGACAAGUUGGAUCUGGACUGGGCGUGUUUUUGUCCCAGCCCGGAAUCUCUGGUCCUCGGAUGUGGAUUGACGUGGAGUUUCCCGGACACGCGGUGCUUCCACUGGGAACGGCGGCCCGCCGGAGCGGGGCCCGGCGGCCGGCGUGGCGGGGCGCGAGUGGCCGGCGGGAUUCCCGUGGGGCCCGGUCACGUGGCACCGGAUAAGGAUGGAGGAGUGCCGACCCUUCACUCCCUCCGGCCGGUACGGUUGGCGGAGAGCCGGAGGUCGACGUUGCAUGCCGUUUUCUUCCGCCAACUCCGGCCAGUGGGUUGGGCUGUCGCCGUGCGGGCCGGGCAUGCUGACCUGUCGGAGCCGGAAGGGACGAUGAAUGAGCCCGCGGUUUCGCGUGAAUGAAUCUGCGGCGGAAGCUGGCGAGAGAGAGAGAGGAUCCAGCGCUCCAAAACGGGGCUGGAAGAUCAUGCUGCGCAGAAUCUCCCAUCCCUGGCAACGAUGCAGCUCGUGGAUUGCGGGCCUUCAAGCCCAAUAACGUGGUGAAGUUGUUAACCCUAGUUGACUCUAGGCAGGCCCAGGCCGCACACGUGGCAAUGGAUAUGGAUCAUCACUCUAUCCAUGUGUUUAUAUGUUGUGGUAUGGAGGUACAUACGAACAUAGCCACCCAUUUAUUUCAAUGCAUGUCCAUGCUUGUUCUGGCUUGCCUCUGUUCCAAGCUAGAGGAACUAUCAACUUAGAGGUAGAUUAUAGUCAAGAAGAAGAUGAUAUAUGUUUUCUCAUCUAUGUUCCUCUGUAUUGUCAUUGUCAGGGUGCAACUUAACAAAACACCAUUUGUUCCAGUUGUGAGAAUUGAUCGAUCGAUUACAAGCCCAGUGAUUGUGAAACAACAACUUUCUUAGUGAACAAACCGAUAAAAUCAAGAUACAUACAUGAUAUAUUGGAUACAGAAAACAACAAGACCCAUUUUUGUUUUAAAAUGAGAACAUGAAGAAGGUAAGGUGGCUAUGGAUAUAUAUGGUGAGUGUUCAUUUCAUGUGAGCAUGCUUGGCUGUGCAACGAGCUGGAGAAGUUUGGGAUCCUGUAGAUGUACCAGAGAGUGUGCUCGGAGGUGUAUCGGGUGAGCGGGUCGCCGUCUGGUCCGCCCUCACCCCUUCACAAUAUCAUCCACCCAUAGGAUGCCACCUUCGGCAUUAUGGGCGUCUUCGCCCAACUUCAUGCACCGUUGGCCUAGAUUCGGGGAGACGACAUGUACCAUGGCCUACAAAAAUAGUAGAGACCCAAAUUACCAUUGGUUCAGAAACAAAUGUUUGUCAAAUUUCAUAAGGCCUUGUACAAUGCGAGGUGCUUAGGGAUGCAUUUAGAGAAAUAAACAAGCAUUUCUUAAGCACUGGUGCUUAAGAAAAACUUAGAUCAUUUUACUAGACACUUUUGCAUUGUACAAGGCCUAAAAAGAACAAAAAAAUGAAAUGGUUGGUCAUAUGGAUACACCCUCAUGUGAAUCAAGGGUGCAGAAGUUGGUUGAGAUAUUUUGCUGGAUUGGGAGGCGCGCCAUCCGGAAGUUACCACUAGUACAUAGCAUGGCUAAUGAAGGAUCGACAUGCGCUAAACGUCAGGGGGAGGGGGCAGGAGUGAGUAGGUGGCUACCAAAUUUAAUUUUUUCUUAGUUGUUUUCAUAGGCUAAUGUGGAAUUGUAAGUUCUCUAGAUAUGCAAGUAGGUGAUACACUCUAUAUGAUGAGUUACAACAUGCUAGCAAGCUACACAAGGCAACAAACAAUCAGGUACUAAGUAAAGCUAGGUUCAGAGACAACCAAAAGUGAUGGAGACGAAGAUGUAAUCUGAAGUUCACACUCUUGGGGGAGUGCUAACCUCCAGCGGAGAGCCGGGAAACAAUGAAUGCUCUCAUAUCAACGAAUGUCUCACCUUAGUUUUCGAGAACCUUGGUCAACGAAUGUCCAAGUUCCCUCUCACUAGGGGUAGCUCUUGGGUGAGCUCCCAACCUUCACAAAUGAGCUCGGGGCACAACCACAUGAAUUAAAAGCUAAGGUGUGCCCGGAUAAUUGACUCUUGAUUUGGUGGAUCAUCGUUUGUGCUUCGGUGUGUUUCGAUGGCGGUGUUUGAUAUCACAUGGUCAAUUUAUUUUAGAUAGAUUCACUUGUUUUUAUCUACCAGUCUUAUUAUCUGAUAGUAAAGUGGUGAAGUAAUAGUUUGAUAACGUGUCUUUCAUGAGUUAUUUGUCCUCGAAUCCCUGAUCUUAAGUCAUCAUGGGGUGAAUUGCUCUUGGCAAUCUUUGAGGUUUACUCGUUUUAUGCAAGUUUGAUCUUCUGUACAUAUGAAUAACGAGCGAAAUGUGAAGCUGCAAGAGAAACCUUCGAUUUAACUACCAAAUUACCGAGACUAUUUACUGUUUGGGUUAUUGUUCAUGUUUGCAUUUUAUCCCUUCAACUAAUAAGGUCAGGUCGUCUAAGGUCGGGGUUUCAACCUCCUUUUUUUGAAGAAAAGGUUGAUCAUUUUGCUAAAAGAGGAGAAAAGGUUGAUCAUUUUGCUAAAAGAGGUUGCUGCUUGGCCGACCUAUUGGGAGCACAAUCAACUUAACAAACAAGAUAUUUGGCCAAUUUCUUUUGAACAAACAAGGUCUUCAACUUUUU